GAUGAACGCUGGCGGCGUGCUUAACACAUGCAAGUCGAACGGAAAGGCUCCUGCUUGCAGGGGUACUCGAGUGGCGAACGGGUGAGUAACACGUGGGUGAUCUGCCCUGCACUUCGGGAUAAGCCUGGGAAACUGGGUCUAAUACCGGAUAGGACGAUGGUUUGGAUGCCAUUGUGGAAAGUUUUUUCGGUGUGGGAUGAGCUCGCGGCCUAUCAGCUUGUUGGUGGGGUAAUGGCCUACCAAGGCGUCGACGGGUAGCCGGCCUGAGAGGGUGUACGGCCACAUUGGGACUGAGAUACGGCCCAGACUCCUACGGGAGGCAGCAGUGGGAAAUAUUGCACAAUGGGCGCAAGCCUGAUGCAGCGACGCCGCGUGGGGGAUGACGGCCUUCGGGUUGUAAACUCCUUUCGCUAGAGACGAAGCGCAAGUGACGGUACCUGGAGAAGAAGCACCGGCUAACUACGUG
rnacentral:rRNA from 1 species